UACGAAGGGGGCUAGCGUUGCUCGGAAUCACUGGGCGUAAAGGGUGCGUAGGCGGGUUUUUAAGUCAGGGGUGAAAUCCUGGAGCUCAACUCCAGAACUGCCUUUAAUACUGCCAGUCUCGAGUCCGGGAGAGGUAAGUGGAACUCCUAGUGUAGAGGUGGAAUUCGUAGAUAUUAGGAAGAACACCAGCGGCGAAGGCGGCUUACUGGUCCGGUACUGACGCUGAGGUGCGAAAGCGUGGGGAGCAAACAGG
rnacentral:rRNA from 1 species